rnacentral:rRNA from 1 species
UACAGAGGUCCCAAGCGUUGUUCGGAUUCACUGGGCGUAAAGGGCGCGUAGGUGGCUAGGUAAGUCUGAUGUGAAAUCUCGAAGCUCAACUUCGAAACUGCAUUGGAUACUAUCUGGCUCGAGGAUCGGAGGGGAGACUGGAAUUCUUGGUGUAGCAGUGAAAUGCGUAGAUAUCAAGAGGAACACCAGUGGCGAAGGCGAGUCUCUGGACGAUUCCUGACACUGAGGCACGAAAGCUAGGGGAGCAAACAGG